AAGAAAAGUAUUUUUAUUCAUUUUAAAACAUUUGGGAUGUUAUCGUCAAUACAGAAACAUAAGCAUAAACAGAAUUUACAUUCAUUAUUACUAGUGAUUUAUAUCUCCUUAAUCUCUCAGUGUAGUGUAACUUCAUAUCGAAACCUGUGAUAUAAAUAAAAUGAGUAGGNCAAAGCCUGUUAUAAAUAAAAUGAGUAGGUCAGGUUGGGAAACCUGGUGAGUACAUAGGGUUUUCAACCCACAAUAGAAUAAUUAUUAUGUUUGAA
rnacentral:lncRNA from 1 species